AUGGAGGCCUCCCGAUCUCUUCCCAUGGAUGGUGGUGGCUCUAGUUCUCGCUCUGCUCCUCGCAAGACCAAGAAGAGGGCAGGAAGGACCUUGCGCCCGGUUGUGUUUGAUGAUGAAGAGGAAGUUGUGAUUCCCACCAAGCCCACUCGCCGUGAAAAGUCUGCAGCUGCUAAGCAACGUGUGGUUAUGCCGUUGCAUCGUUGGAAAGCCAAGGAUUGGGAAGCCUUCCGCUCAAAGAAUCCGUAUGAGGUUCCCAUUGCUCCCCGUUGGACCACUGUUCAGUUCCGGAAUGAGAUGCAAGUGCGGAUUGUUCAUGAACUCUUCGAGCACAACAAGAACAGAUAUACCAAGCAGUGGACAAUUGAUCUUGACCAUUGGAGAAACAACUUGGAGUAUUUUGAUGAUGCGCGCACUCUCACCUUCAUGUGUCGCGAUGAAUUGUUUCACGUUCCUUGGAGGGCUUUCUGCAAUGCUCUUGGGUACGAGGAUACCGGUCUGGAAGGAAGGGGUGGCAUUCUCCCUCAUGAUUUUCCUGAGUCCAUGCCUAAGGAGAAGCUUGCCCCUCUGUACAUUCGGGGCCGUGGGAUUAUUGGAGAAUCCAAGGAUUUGGAGAAGGUCUAUGACAUCAUGCACCGGGUGUUCCACAAUGUGCUCUUGCCCAAGGUGGGCAAUCAAGAUGAGAUUCAUGGCUAUCUGGUUGAUUUGAUGGUUGCUAUGAAGACCAUGGUGGGGACAGGGGCAAUGUUUGAUGUGUCAAAUUGGUUGUGGCAUGAUAUGUACAACAUGGUCAUCUACCGUAAAGUCCCAAUCUACGCUCCGUUUGUCAUGUGCUUUCUGAACUCUGUGUGGGCUGUUCGCCGUCCUGGAGAGCUCCUCACUUCUCCAGACAACCUCACUGUUCAUGAGGUCAAGCUCCUUAAGAAGAAGAAGCAUGCCGAGCCUCGCUUCCCUGAACAUGCUCCCGAGGAUGUCUAUGCUACUUCUGAUGAUGAGGACUUUGAGCUGGAGCCAGGGCCCAAGCCUUCGUGGGUGGCCAAACUUACUGCCAAGGUGAAGAAGACCUUUUGUCUCCAGGCUGACAUCCAGAAGAAGAUGUAUGAGGAACAUGUCAAUGAGAAGCUUGCAUGGCGUCGCCAGAUUGCAAUGAUGAAGCACCUCAACAUGCAGAAGCUUGGAUCCGCCAAGGAGGGCGGCAAGACACCUCAUCUGCUGCCUGUGAGUGUGAUCAUGAGCGUGACGGUGGCCAACAAGACACCGGAUGCUGUCCGGCAGGUCAUGGCUUGGGCGCUCUUGAACGCCUUCGUCUUCGUCGUCUCCUACGCCAUGGGCUACGCAAUCGACUGCGCACUCCACCAUUACCAUGUCUCCUGCAGCAAGUUCUCGUUCAUUCUCCGUUGCGACCAGCUGACUGACGCAGAGCGCAACCACUGGAUCGUGAUUCUGUCCUGUGCCACGUUCCAGGCGGCCGCAGCCGCGCUGGUGCUCUGGCUCCCGGGCCGCCACCGCUGGGUCCUCUGUGCCUUGGCCUACCUCGCGCUCCUCCUCACUGUCGUCGGCCAUUGCAUGUUUUUCGCCGACGUCUGCCUCAACCUCGCCGCUGACCCAGGGCGCCUCGUCUGCUGGAUCUUAUGCACCAUGGCCAUCGUCUUCUACGCGGUUGGCGACAUCAUCAGCUUCAUGACCCUCCUCUGUGGAGAGGAUUAUGGGGAACUACCGAAGGGAAUGACAUCUAAGAAAGCCACCAAGGAGGAUGUGCAAGAGAAGAUGAAGCCGAUUCUUGCUGCCAACGACUCAACUUCCAGCAGCGGUGCAGCGAUCCCCCUCCCGUGCUUGUCGCUGCAUCCUCCACCAGUUGAUGAGGGUGACGACAGGGAUGAGGGUGAUGAUAUAUCUGAUUUGCUAAGAGAUCUUGCUGCUGGUUUGGAUAAAGGGGGAGAUCUUGAAGAUGAUUGUGGUUUAGAUCAGGAUGAUUCUUUUCUAGAAUCUCUCCACAAACUUGAAGCUGAUUCUAGACAAGAGCUAUUUCCAGGCUAGGGCUAUUUGUUUGAUGAGAGCUUGACAUUUUGCUCACACUAUUUGGAUGAUGAGAGUCGGUUGAAUCGAGCUAGGAAUGAUGGAGGUUUGGAUAUGGAAGUUGAUGAUACAACUCCUUUCUUCCACAACAUUGGUCGAGGGCUGGCUGGCAAGUGCAUGGUGAUGUUAGAUAACAAAACUUGGUUGCAAGCCCACAGAUAUGUCUUGUUCAAUUAUGACAACAUAGAACCAUACCUAGAUCAUCGAGAAGUCAAGCGUGUGCAUUACGAGACAUUUCAUGAGUGGUUUAAAUUGCACGUGGUAGAAAUGGGAGAUGAAGCACCUCAUGAGAUAAAAAUAUUAGAUAAAGAGCCAAACUUGGUUGCUAUGAAGUAUAGUAGCUACACUAUAAAUGGGGUAGACUUUCAUACACAAUCAUAUGAUGAGGGCCACUCAUUUCAGAGUAGUGGAGUAGCUCUUGUUGCACAAACCACAUCCUUUGCAAAAGGAAAAGGUGACAAUAUUAAUGUAAGAAACAAGACCUAUUAUGGCAUUAUAAAGGAAAUUCUUGAGUUGAAUUAUCAACAUGAAGGUAAAGUAGUGUUGUUCAAAUGUGACUGGGUUGAUAAUCGUGUAGAAGAUGAAUGGGUGCAAACUGAUCAGUUUGGAAUCACUUCUGUGAAUUUCAAGCAUUUGUUCAAUACCGGUGAGAAAAUAUCAGACGAGCCCUUCAUAUUAGCCACACAAGCAACUCAAGUUUACUAUGUUGAAGAUCCCAUUGAUGCUGAGUGGUCUACUGUUGUUGUUCCAUCAUUAUAUGACAUAGAAGAAUCUAAAGAUGACAAUGGAGGAAAAAUGGCAAGCGCAAACGGAAGAGCUAAAGAUGGUGGGGUCACGGAGGAACAACUGAAAGCGGUAGAGUAUGAACUACUGAGAAGAAAGACCAUUGAACAGAAUGAUAAACGGCUAGCAGCGGUACGAGCAACAAGAGCUUCUAUGCAGGAAGAUAUGGAAGCGAACCAAGCCCCCAAAAAGAAAAGAAAGGCACCCUCCAGCGCACCUGUAAGCGUGAAUGAAGGACGUGUUUUGAGGUCUAGGGUAUCAAAAGAUCAAGGUCAUGUUGAUCCUGAGCAUCAGCCUUCCAAAGAGAUUACUCAUGAGCUUGAUGGUGAUGGUAGUCAAAGAAAGGCAUUUUAUGAGCUGGACUCAAUUGCUUUGAGCUUUGUUAUCAACACUUCACACAUAAAAUGGAAGGAUUGUAAGUCAGAUUUAAAGAGGUACAAGUUUGAUGCUGCACUCACUGAUGCACAACUUAUGAAAAGACGUGACAGCAGAAUUAGUGAAGCUGACUGGAAGACCCUUAUUACUUAUUGGAGAUCUUCGGCAUUUGAAUCUCGUAGUGCUAUCGCCAAAAACAAUCGUGCCAAUGCAGUACCUCAUACAUCUGGCAGUAAGAGUCAUGCCCGUGUUGCCAAUGAAAUGGCUGUCAAACUUGGGCAUGAUCCUCAGAGAGAUGAAGUUUAUAUCGAAACACAUAUACGUAAGAAAGGGGAAAGGAAAGGGAGUUAUGUGCCGCAGGCAGAAACAACAAUUAAAGAACUCAUAGAGAAUGCUGAAAAGCACCCUGAAUGGAAGGAAAAGAGCAUUCAAGAAGGUGAUCUGUUUGCACGCGUAUGUGGAAUGAAGGAGCCCAGGGGUCGUGUCCGUGUGUUAGGUCUAGGUCCAACACCUCAAGAUUUGGGCACACCAAGUACACGGGGUAAAUUGAGCACAAGAGUUCUAGUUGAAAUGCAAGGGCGUCAAGAAGCUGAAAAUCGCUAUAACAUGCUCCAGGGGCAUGUGCAACAAAUGGAAGAAAGAAUGAACCGAAUGGAAUUGAUGUUAGCUUCACAAGGAAGGCAUAAUCUGGAAACUCCUAGCUCGCAGCAUGGUUCCAAUUCUCGACAAAACUCCGGAGCUGAAGCUGAGGAACAUAAUGACGCUGAAGAAGAUGUUGAACAGGAUGAUGAAGAGCCAUUUGUUCAAAGAAGAGUUGUUGCAAAGCCCCCUGCAAGAAGCUCAUCAACCUAUGAAGAUGAAAGCCUUAUUGGUAUGGAUGUGCUUCUAUAUGCAUGGACUGGUCCUGAAACUCCUGCUGCCAAGGCAACAAUUAUCUCAGUUGACCCAGACACUAUUGUGGGCGGAGAGAACCUUGGACCAAGAACUUAUGAGGUUCUUGUCAAUGUUGCUAUUCGAAGAGAUGCUACGGUGCCAUAUGAAUAUGAUGAUUUACAAAUUAUUGCUGAUGAUGUCACAAGGUCCAUUGCAUGGCCAUCUAGCAAGGCGGCCGCGGACGCGCUGGUGCUCUGGCUCCCGGGCCGCUGCCGCUGGGUCCUCCGUGCCUUGGCCUACCUCGCGCUCGUCCUCACCGUCGUCGGCCACUGCAUGUGUUUCGCCAACGUCUGCCUCAACCACGCCGCCGACUCAGGACGCCUCGAUUCCUUUGAGCUUGCCCGGCGGGAUUCCUCAAGAGAUGGGGGGGAUGUUGAAAUGGGGAUGCAUCAGCCCGACGCCUCUGAUAAUUUAAAUGGCUUCUUCAAGAAGACUGCAAAUGAGGAAUCAAAAGCAGUUACAAAAGCAAGCGCCAUGAAAGCAAUUAAGAAGCAAAUGGAGAAAGAUAUUGAUGCAGUGAUGAAAAUUGCUCGUAUGGCAAAAACAAAAAUUGAUGAACUGGAAAAAGAUGUAUUGAGAGAAUCAAUCCGGCAGGAGUACCGGGAAGUUGUUGAAAGAAGGGUAUUUACUGUAACUGGUAAUCGCCCUGAUGAACAGACAAUUGACGAUUUAAUCGAGACAGGGAGAAGCGAGCAAAUUUUCAAAGAUGCGGUUCAACAGCAGGGGAGAGGCCAGAUAUUGGAUACUGUUGCUGAGAUACAGGAGCGGCAUGAUGCUAUAUUCCUGGAUAUGGCAGUAUUGGUUGUGGCCCAAGGAGAGAUGACAGAUGACAUAGUGACACAUGUUUCAAAGGGUACUGACUACAUGCAGCAAGGUUUGGAUGCUCUCCAGAAGGCAAAGAAGCUACAGAAGAACUCGAGAAUGUGCAUGUGCUCCGCCAUACUCGUUCUCCUGCUGAUAGUGGUUAUCGUCGUGCUCACAGUUAUCCAGCCAGGGAAGAAGUAA
rnacentral:rRNA from 1 species